GGAAGAAUCUGAUGGAACUGUUGUUUACGCUUGCUUUGCCGUAGCCAUAUACAGGGGAGCUAGCAGUGUCAUCAAGUUCAGUUCCAUUACAAGAAAAAGAGAAUGGAAAAUGGCCUUGCAGGUUAGUGGUUUGAGUUGUAGAACUCGUUUAAAAGUGACCCAAAAUUUCGCCAAAUUCUUGCUAAGGCUCGAGAAGUAUGGGCUCUGGUUGUAAAGAAGAUGGUCCCUAAAGCAAUGGGGGAGAAAGCAAGGUCAAACAUGGCCGGACAAAGACAACAAUCCGACAUCCGUGAAUGUUAGCUAAGUUAAAGUCAAACCUGCCUUUUUCGUUUUUGCAUUAAACACUCGAUGUUUAAAAGUCUGCGCUGCUAAUAAUGGGAAGCCAUUACUGCUUUGUGAGAUUACAGAGCUAAAUGUUCAUCAAGAUGUCACUUUCUUUACCUCAGCUUCAAAUUAGAAAUGGGUUUUGAAUUUUGCAA